UGGAGGCCUUGUCGCUGCUCAGGAAGCCCAGGAGCCCAGACUCGGUGUUGCUGCGGUGCCGGAACAUGGGAAGGUUGAAGGGAGCCUGGCCUUUCUCAUCCGGAGAAUUCACCGGCUGUGAGAAGGAAAAUGUACACCAGCCGGACCGGCUCUCCAGCCGCGAGGUUCAGCGACCCGUCCGCGCUCAGCGGUCGCACCUACAAGAAACUUGAAUCAUCGCAGCUGGAGGGGAGACCAUUUGGCCCAUCAAGUCCUUGGCGGCCCAUCAGAGAGAAAUCCCAUUGGUCCUUUGAUCCCAGGCCUCCAAAAUUAUCCACACCGUGGAAUUUAAAAAGGGAAGGUAAUCGUAUUAAAAAUAUUUACAGAAUUGAUGCAAAACCCAAAUCUGGUUCGCUAAUAUCCUUCCGGGAGAGCAGGUCGACAUGGGGAGGCAUCACCCCACAUUCCCGACUUGCCUUUCCCAUUAAUUCUGUAUCGCCUGCUCUCUGAAUCUUCCAGUAAAUAUUUUAAUGUUAAAUACAAA